rnacentral:rRNA from 1 species
GACGAACGCUGGCGGCGUGCUUAACACAUGCAAGUCAAACGGAAAGGCCUCUUUCGGGGGGUACUCGAGUGGCGAACGGGUGAGUAACACGUGAGUAACCUGCCCUUGACUUUGGGAUAACUUCAGGAAACUGGGGCUAAUACCGGAUAGGAGCUCCUGCUGCAUGGUGGGGGUUGGAAAGUUUCGGCGGUUGGGGAUGGACUCGCGGCUUAUCAGCUUGUUGGUGGGGUAGUGGCUUACCAAGGCUUUGACGGGUAGCCGGCCUGAGAGGGUGACCGGCCACAUUGGGACUGAGAUACGGCCCAGACUCCUACGGGAGGCAGCAGUGGGGAAUAUUGCACAAUGGGUGGAAGCCUGAUGCAGCAACGCCGUGUGCGGGAUGACGGCCUUCGGGUUGUAAACCGCUUUCGCUCAUGACGAAGCUUUGUGUGACGGUAGUGGGUAAAGAAGCACCGGCUAACUACGUG